CGAUGGAGAACAGCAGAGAAAAAAGAAGAAGCAGAGAACACGCGCAUGCCGCUCCCUGUGCACACCACCUCCGCCAUUAAUCCCCUUCAUCCCGAAUAAUUCUCUUCAGUCGACCCUGGGAAAUUAAUCCCAUUCACCCACGAGUCAAUUCAGGCUUUAACAUCAGUUUCCACUGCUUAAUCCCCCAUUUGCAAUUGCAACCGACGCGGCCCGAGCGCUGGCCGUCGGCAUCCACCUCCGAUCUCCCUCUCCACGCUUUAAAACGCGACCCCCGACGUGUCAUCUUGAGAGUUUUAUUCUCCUAUCCCAAAUCCCUCUUCUAAUUUGACCGAAAAUCCUCAAUGGAACCCGUGCCAUCGUCGUCUUUCCCGCCGGCCGCCGUUGUGGAAGACCAAUUGGACCGAAAAGUUGAGCUGAAUUUGUUCCGUGAAGAUUAUUACGGGACGCCCCCGCAUCGCUCCCAUGAGCGGCUCGGGCGGACGCAAACCCUAGCGCCGCCACCAGCUCCCCUGCUCUCCCCUCCUCCCCUCGCCGCCGCCGGAGGAUGCCGGCGGGCGAAGCCCCCAUGGGUGGACGGCGGCGGUGGGGCUUUCCCUUUGCAGCGGCUCGGAGGACCUCUUCUUCGGGCGCCGCUGGGACGCCGCGUUUCUCCGGCGGUGGCUCCGGGGAGCGGCUGGGGGUUGCGAGGGCAUCCCGUGCGGGAUCUGGGGCCGUGCCCCUCAGAUCCGUUGGAGGCGGCAGGCGAGGCCGGCGAGGGGGCCUGGCUGCGAAGUGGUUGGCGGAGUCUUGGCGGCGGGCGGGGCUCUGCGUCGCUGGUGGCGGCGUGGCCCGGUCAGGUCUGCGCGGGCGGCUCCUUGCUGCGGCUAGCUUCGGCUAGCCCGGUGCGCCGGCGACGACGCCAAGAUAGUGGACGAGGGUCCCCUGGUCCUGGUCAGUGGGGGCGGUGGCGCCGGUUCGGCGGCCUGCUUGUCGGAGGCGAGCCCUUCGGCGGCGGUAGGCGCGCAAAGGUUGUGGCUUGCCCUUGUGGGCUGCCACGGCGGUGGAGGCGCGAAAAAGCUGGGGCUUGCCCUUACGGGCAGCCGCGGCGGUGCAGGCCGGAGAGAAAUCUCUGCGUGGGUGUGGGCCUACACCGACGACGAUGACGGUCGCGGCCGCCAUUACCUUCUUGGAGGCGUCGUUGUGGCUCGGCCGCGCCUCCCUCCUCCUUUGGCAUUGGGGGAAACCCUUGGUUUGGCGACGGACCCGGCAACCGCGGCGCUCAACGUCGUUCUCCUCUCUUGAGAGCGCUGUCUUGAUGGCCUUGGAGACCUUCAGUGAGCAUGGUUGUUGUGGGCGAUGGUGCCGGUUCUGUGCCAAGGACGCUGGACUUCUGGGCGCGAUGUUGUACCCCUCAUCGACGCACCUUGACCAAUCUCCUUAUUCAGUUCCGGCCUGCAGCUACCCCACUUGCCGAUCUCUCUCUUGGCGCGACGGUGGGCUACAUUGUCCGGGGCGGUCUUGAUGUUGCGGUGAUUGUUUGAGAGGCUUGGCGGCGGGCGUGAAGUGGCUGUUGAGGUCCUGUGCACGACAUCUUUGUCUUCUAGGCUUGUUGUUGUGUAGGGUUUUUGCGGUGGUUGUGACUAGGUUCUUGUCCAACUUAGCUUGGGUUGGUGGUGUGUUUUUCCUUUUGCCACUUGUUGGCGUUGUUUUGCCGUUUCGACGUUGUACUAGACUUCUGGCUCUUCUUUUUUAA